rnacentral:rRNA from 1 species
UAGGGAAUCUUCGGCAAUGGGGGCAACCCUGACCGAGCAACGCCGCGUGAGUGAAGAAGGUUUUCGGAUCGUAAAGCUCUGUUGUAAGAGAAGAACGUGUGUGAGAGUGGAAAGUUCACACAGUGACGGUAGCUUACCAGAAAGGGACGGCUAACUACGUGCCAC